GGAGGGAGGACUGGAGCUUGGAGGGAUGCUGUGAGACUUGGAAGAUCAGAAAACUGGAGUAAGGGAGACCCUGCUCCAGCAUCUAAGGACUGAAGGUACCCCACCCAAGGGGGAAGAGGGCAGAUGAAGUUGAAGACUAACCUAGUGUUACAAUGAAGGACCUGAUUCUGGUUAUUUCCAAGUGUGUUGUCCAGCCCAUCAUCCCUUCUCAGGUCCCACCAUGGCCUUCUCAAAGGCCCUUCAUCUCCAACACGCUAUUGGAACGUUCCUCUUCAUUCUCUUCGGUGGUUUAGCCUGGGUCACCAUUGUUCUACCCAAUCUAUCCAGCGAGGACCAUCAAUAGUGAACUCCGAGUGCAGCCAGGACCAAAGCCAGCCCCAGGGAACCAUAGGGAGUGGAAUCAGUGCGGUUCCACUGUUCAUAGGAGGAGAGGUGGAUUCCAGAUGGCCACGCAGUGUGGAGGCACAGCUCCCUGAAGGUGAUGCUCCCUGGAAGGCUCCAUAACAAUUUGUGAACGGACAGCUGAGAUCCCACUGAAGCCACGGGCGUGAGACUAGGUAGUGAGAGAAACACUGAUCAAGAAAGAGGAAAGCUUCUGGCCUUAUACUCCAUGACUCUCUGUGAUGUGGUUCCUGUUCCAUUUGCGGCAUGAUGCUCCGCUGAGUUCUCCCAAGGAUGAUGGACUAUGCCCAGCCAGCAGCAUGGUUUCAUUGCCAGCUGUGUGCAAUGAGAGUUACUCGCAGGUAUCCUCAAAACACAGGUUCUUUUUCCAUCUCUGUUUCUCCCUUUGCUUUCUUCUCACUCUCAUUCUUAUUUGCACUAGAGUAGCUCCUGGAAGACCCAGACAAAAAUCAAGGCCCUGGUGUGCUAGAUACUGUACAGACAUAUAGUAAGAGACAGUACUUGCCCUGAAGAACUUACAAAGUACAACUCACCUGGGAUAUGGUGAAUUCACCAUUGAAAUACUUAAAUCCAGACUGGGUGUUUUUCUGUGUAUAUGCUCUAGCUCAGCCCAGAAGCUAUGGGCUUCAUGCAGGGAUUAGCAGGUGAGAUUCCCAGGCCUGUGUUAUGAAGGCGGUCAGAGAGGAUCACAAUGGUUCCUCCUGUAGACAAGGCAGAAAAGAAGUGGGCGGGAGGGAAGGGAUUUGCCCCCACUCACCCAACAGGUCAGCGACAGAGCUGGAUGUGUACAAGCCUCAUUCUUUAAUCACGCUCACUGUUAAAAAUUUUUUUUACUGCUUUCUAAUUUGAAUUUAUCUGGCUUCAGCUUCCAAACACUGGUUCUUGUUCUGCCAUUUCCCACUAGAUUAAAGGGCCCUUCUAACAUCUGGUAUUUACUCCCUGUGAAGGU